UAUAACAUAAACAGAAGGGAAAAAACAGAAUCAAAUCCUUACUCUCAAGUAUGGAACGGUGCAUAAUUGCUUCGUCAUCCACGCUCAAUCUCACCCGAUUAUCUCGUAAAUCCAUUUCAAUUCUUCCUGCUAAGCUCCCGGGAUUCUCUUCUCCAUGGAGCUCGAGCGCAAAUCCGCGGCCUCUGAAGCAUAUUCGAGCACUGCCCCCUGCUUUCAGCUGUAGAAGGAGACUGAGCACGAGAGCUGUUGUAUCCGAUGUUUAUGAGGAGAAACAGUAUUUCAAAGUCGCCGCGGAAUCGACGGGUCCGGUUUCUUCUGAUCGGCUUCUCGAAGUGAUCGAAAUUGCCGCCAAAACUGGAGCUCAGGUGAUAAUGGAUGCAGUGAAUAAACCUCGAAAUAUAACAUACAAGGGAUUGACUGAUCUGGUGACUGACACAGACAAAAUGAGUGAGGCUGCUAUUCUGGAUGUGGUAAAGAAGAAUUUCCAAGACCACCUCAUUCUUGGGGAGGAAGGAGGGAUCAUUGGCGACUCGUCUUCUGAUUAUCUUUGGUGUAUCGAUCCCCUAGAUGGCACCACAAAUUUUGCACAUUGCUACCCCAGCUUUGCAGUUUCUAUUGGUGUACUUUACAAAGGAAAGCCAGCUGCUGCCUCUGUGGUAGAGUUUGUUGGUGGACCUAAAUGUUGGAAUACUCGGACUUUUACUGCAGCUGCUGGUAAAGGUGCAUUCUGCAAUGGAGAAAAAAUUCAUGUGAGCCAAACUGAUACGGUUGAGAGAUCACUUUUGGUUACUGGGUUCGGAUAUGAACAUGAUGAUCCAUGGGCAACCAAUAUGGAGCUAUUCAAGGAAUUCACUGACGUUAGUCGGGGUGUGAGGAGGCUUGGUGCAGCAGCAGUUGACAUGUCUCAUGUAGCCCUGGGAAUUGUAGAAGCCUACUGGGAGUAUCGUCUUAAACCAUGGGACAUGGCCGCUGGUGUUUUGAUAGUUGAGGAGGCUGGGGGAACAGUUUCCUGUAUGGAUGGUGAAAAGUUUUCCGUGUUUGACAGAUCUGUCUUGGUAUCCAAUGGAGUGCUUCAUUCUAAGCUUCUUGAGCGCAUUGGACCAGCAACACAGAAACUUAAGGGCAAAGGAAUUGAUUUUUCGUUAUGGUACAAGCCUGACAAUUAUCACACAGAACUUUGAUAUGGCCUACUUUGAUGGCUUUUACUGUGGGGAUCAGGUGUAAGCAUCCAUUCCUCGAUAACAAUUUUCAGGAUUUGAUCAAGGUCUUCUACCUUUCAAAUACUUCAAAGUUGAUCGUAGAUUUGUAGUCUUACCUUGAUUCUUUCAACAAGGGCCAAUGCCAGAAUCUUUGGUCCUCCGCCCAAGUUAUCGAAAGACUUUGUGCAAAAAUCAUGAAGCAGUUGCAGUUCGACUGCUUGUCAACCCAGUACUUCUGCAGAACCAAAGUUUCUGUAAGACAAAGAAUAAAAAAGCUAGCAGUAGCAUGAUAUUUAAAUGGUUGGCGAUCUGUCUGCGGGCGCCGCGCCGCUCGUUAUAUUCUUAUCCUCUGAUGAUGUGCUGCUGGUGUUGUGGUGUGGAUGAACAUCAGAUCAACACCAUGCUUCAGUUAUUUUUUUUUUCAUCUUCUGGGAAUUUGAUGCCAUUGGUGUUGUCUGAAUGUGGAUAAUAUAUUUAUUCAUUUAUAGAUUCUCUGAAGGAUAAAUAUUUAAU